UCCCGUUAGGUCCUUUCUGCUACCGUGCAGCCGUGGCUGUCCGGUUUUAACCAGUAUUUUUGCUGGCACUCAUUUAGAAGACGUCAAGUCCGUUUAUGCUGGAGGUGAGCAUACCUCCCUCUUCCGGACCAUCCUCCCUCUUGUUGCUGAAAGAUCGCCUCCGUCCCUGACGAGCCAAAGAAGACAGUGACUACCAGGAAUUCUGGUCCUUCCUGCUUUCACUCGCAGGCCAGGAUACUUCCCAUGGCACGCCUCUUCGCCUCACACCGCAGGGCUGGAGUCUGUAUUCCAGAGAAGGCGCGGCUCUGUUCCCUCUAGAAAGGAUAUCUUGAAUGUUUGGUGAGCACACUUGGCCUCAGAGAAACUCCUGAAAUUUUAAUGUGUUUUCUUGUCAAUCAAACAGAUGUCCAGACUCCUGUUGUGCUUCUGUGCCCUGGAGCUUAACUGCCUUCAGCAUUGCUGGUAUGAGGUUGUCCUUUCUUAAUGGGCCGCCAGGGACCGAGUGAGAGCUGAAUCCUGGCUGCCUAGUACCCCUGUGAAAAGGGAAGGAGUCCCCACCGGCAGGGAGACAAUGCACAUAUCAGACCGUUGUGGUGGCAGAAGAUCCAACAAGUGAAAUAUUCAGAGGAAGCUGAGGCAGAGGCCACACCCCAGGAGCCAGUGAAUGAUCUGUGCAACCCGGGUUGAAUACGACUGCUGGAGAGAUGAAAUUGGAGUCACUGCCCCCAUGCAUAACUCAGGCUCCAAGUCACAAUGCGUUUUAAAAGGAAGUCACCAGCAUUUUAAUCCUCCGUUAGACGCGUACACACCUACACAACUGUUAUCAGAAGAAAAG